rnacentral:rRNA from 1 species
GACGAACGCUGGCGGCGUGCCUAAUACAUGCAAGUCGAACGCUUCUUUCCUCCCGAGUGCUUGCACUCAAUUGGAAAGAGGAGGGGCGGACGGGUGAGUAACACGUGGGUAACCUACCCAUCAGAGGGGGAUAACACUUGGAAACAGGUGCUAAUACCGCAUAACAGUUUAUGCCGCAUGGCAUAAGAGUGAAAGGCGCUUUCGGGUGUCGCUGAUGGAUGGACCCGCGGUGCAUUAGCUAGUUGGUGAGGUAACGGCUCACCAAGGCCACGAUGCAUAGCCGACCUGAGAGGGUGAUCGGCCACACUGGAACUGAGACACGGCCCAGACUCCUACGGGAGGCAGCAGUAGGGAAUCUUCGGCAAUGGACGAAAGUCUGACCGAGCAACGCCGCGUGAGUGAAGAAGGUUUUCGGAUCGUAAAACUCUGUUGUUAGAGAAGAACAAGGACGUUAGUAACUGAACGUCCCCUGACGGUAUCUAACCAGAAAGCCACGGCUAACUACGUG